rnacentral:rRNA from 1 species
AGUGAACGCUGGCGGUAGGCCUAACACAUGCAAGUCGAACGGCAGCACAGUAAGAGCUUGCUCUUACGGGUGGCGAGUGGCGGACGGGUGAGGAAUACAUCGGAAUCUACUUUUUCGUGGGGGAUAACGUAGGGAAACUUACGCUAAUACAGCAUACGACCUACGGGUGAAAGCAGGGGAUCAUCGGACCUGGCUCGAGUGAAUGCGCCGAUGGCGGAGUAGCUAGUUGGCGGGGUAAAGGCCCACAAAGGCGACGAUCCGUAGCUGGUCUGAGAGGAUGGACAGCAACACUGGAAAUGAGACAACGUCCACACUCCUACGGGAGCUAGCAGAGGGGAAUAUUGGAAAAAGGGCGCAAGCCUGAUACAGCCAUACCGCGAGGGUGAAGAAGGCCUUCGAGUUGUAAAGCUCGUUUGUUGGGAAAGAAAAGCAGCAGGUUAAUACCCCGCGGUUCUGACGGUAACCAAAGAAUAAGCACCGGCUAACUUCGUGC